rfam:Felis catus isolate Cinnamon breed Abyssinian chromosome A2, whole genome shotgun sequence.
ACCUGGAUGGCUCAGUUGGUUAAGCGUCUGACUUCAGCUCAGGUCAUGAUCUCAUAGUCCGUGGGUUCGAGCCCUGCGUCAGGCU